GACGAACGCUGGCGGCGUGCUUAACACAUGCAAGUCGAACGGAAAGGCCCUGCUUUUGUGGGGUGCUCGAGUGGCGAACGGGUGAGUAACACGUGAGUAACCUGCCCUUGACUUUGGGAUAACUUCAGGAAACUGGGGCUAAUACCGGAUAGGAGCUCCUGCUGCAUGGUGGGGGUUGGAAAGUUUCGGCGGUUGGGGAUGGACUCGCGGCUUAUCAGCUUGUUGGUGGGGUAGUGGCUUACCAAGGCUUUGACGGGUAGCCGGCCUGAGAGGGUGACCGGCCACAUUGGGACUGAGAUACGGCCCAGACGCCUACGGGAGGAAGCAGUGGGGAAUAUUGCACAAUGGGCGGAAGCCUGAUGCAGCAACGCCGCGUGCGGGAUGACGGCCUUCGGGUUGUAAACCGCUUUCGCCUGUGACGAAGCGUGAGUGACGGUAAUGGGUAAAGAAGCACCGGCUAACUACGUG
rnacentral:rRNA from 1 species